GCUUUGGUAGCUCAGUCGGUAGAGCGUAGGUCUCAUAAUCCUAAGGUCGUGUGUUCGAGUCACGCCCAAAGCA